GAAUAAGGGGCGCUGGGUAUUCCCGGCUGAGACAGAGUAAUGGAGCUCUGAAACCCUGGAACCUGAUCCGGGUAAUGCCGGCGUAGGAAGCACC
rnacentral:ncRNA from 1 species